UUCAUUCUGCUAGCUAUGUGUAACCCAUGUUAAUUUAUUGCAAGCUGGUAAUUCAGCAAAAAUGCCACAUUCUCUGAAUGUGGAUAUAGAUACCAUUCUUUGAAUAGGAUGUAAAAUAUCCUAUAUUACGCAGUAGGUUAAGAGAUUGACACCAGCUGAGGAGAAGCUAUCACUUUCUAAGCAGAUCUUCUCAGUGGAAAUGCUAUUUUUCUUCUACCUUGAAUAAACCGGUCUCUGAGAUGAGUCAGUCCUUCUGAGAAGUACACAGAGCUGUAACUAACACUCUUCCCAAUGUCAGAAACCUACAAAGAAAUCUAUCAGCUAAAACUUAGAGAAGGAGAAGAACAGAGACAGAGACUGGUUCUACAAAAGGCCCUUUGAAGACAGAAAAAUAAGAAAACAUUUGGGAGAAAAUAUUUGCAAACUGCAUUUUUAACGAAGGAUGAGCAUCUCAAAUAUAUAAGAAACACUCAAAACUCAACAAGAAAAACAACCAACCAACCAAAACAAUCCAAACAGAAAGUGGGUGAACUAUGUGGGCUAACAUGUCACUGGAGAAGGUGCCCAGAUGGCAGAUGAGCACGCGAAGUGAUCUCCAACAUCAUCGGCCACUAAGGAAAUGCAAAUUAAGACCAUAAUGAGAUAUCACUGCCUACUUCUCA